ACAAAGGCUCUUUUCAGAGCCACCUACCUCUCAGUAAGAGCAGCUG
rnacentral:ncRNA from 1 species